rnacentral:lncRNA from 1 species
AUAAACUAAAAAUAGGUUAAACAGGUUAAAUGGGUUAUCUGAUUUAACCCGAACUGAAUAUUAAAUGGGUUAAAUGGAUUAGAUAUUUAAAACUAAAAUCCAACCUAAUUAUUAAACGGAUUAAAUGGAUCGAUCCGUUUAUGAUCCAAAUUCAUUUAGCCUAAGUCUAAACUUAUUUGUGACGGAUCGAAUACGGAUCAGAUUGAC